rnacentral:rRNA from 1 species
CCUUCGGGGGGCUGUAGUGGGGAAUAUUGGACAAUGGGGGGAACCCUGAUCCAGCCAUGCCGCGUGUGUGAAGAAGGCCCUCGGGUUGUAAAGCACUUUCAGUGAGGAAGAACGCCUGGUGGUUAAUACCCAUCAGGAAAGACAUCACUCACAGAAGAAGCACCGGCUAACUCCGUGCCAGCAGCCGCGGUAAUACGGAGGGUGCGAGCGUUAAUCGGAAUUACUGGGCGUAAAGCGCGCGUAGGUGGCUUGAUAAGCCGGUUGUGAAAGCCCCGGGCUCAACCUGGGAACGGCAUCCGGAACUGUCAAGCUAGAGUGCAGGAGAGGAAGGUAGAAUUCCCGGUGUAGCGGUGAAAUGCGUAGAGAUCGGGAGGAAUACCAGUGGCGAAGGCGGCCUUCUGGACUGACACUGACACUGAGGUGCGAAAGCGUGGGUAGCAAACAGGAUUAGAUACCCUAGUAGUC